AGCUGGUUGCACUUUCCAUUAUAUCACCAAAGAAAGAAUUGAACCAUUACGAGUAAAUAGAGUGCUGAAAAGAGGCAGAGAUACAGAUAUGCAAAGGAAUUGUAAAGAGAAUGCUGCAGUCUAAAAGUCUAAUUUCACUUACCUCGUAAUCUUGUUUAGAGAUGACUGGCUCCAGGUCUUCUGGAAUUGCCUUUAUGGAAAGGAAUUAUGAGAGAUUACUCUAAUAAGGAAAUGUUAGAGGCCUCAAUUUGAGAAAAUCUUAUGGAUGAUGAAUUGGAGAAGAGAAAGAUGGUCAUUAAUGGCCAAACCAGAGAGAUGGUUCAUUCAUUGACCCCCUGGGGGUAUCUACCACUCUUUACUAUUCUGCUGAGGAAGACAGAGGCAGCCACAAGAGUUUUGGGAAAGAGAUCUAUGGCAUGUAUGAGGUGAGAAAGUGUACCGAGCCGCAUCAGUCUCUGCCAUAAGAGCCACAGCAGCAUCAUUGACAAUGAAAUU
rnacentral:lncRNA from 1 species